CUAGGGUGGCAGCAGUGGGGAAUAUUGGACAAUGGGCGAAAGCCUGAUCCAGCCAUGCCGCGUGUGUGAAGAAGGCCUUCGGGUUGUAAAGCACUUUCAGUGGGGAAGAAAGCCUUGGGGCUAAUACCCUCGAGGAAGGACAUCACCCACAGAAGAAGCACCGGCUAACUCCGUGCCAGCAGCCGCGGUAAUACGGAGGGUGCGAGCGUUAAUCGGAAUUACUGGGCGUAAAGCGCGCGUAGGCGGUCUGAUAAGCCGGUUGUGAAAGCCCCGGGCUCAACCUGGGAACGGCAUCCGGAACUGUCAGGCUAGAGUGCAGGAGAGGAAGGUAGAAUUCCCGGUGUAGCGGUGAAAUGCGUAGAGAUCGGGAGGAAUACCAGUGGCGAAGGCGGCCUUCUGGACUGACACUGACGCUGAGGUGCGAAAGCGUGGGUAGCAAACAGGAUUAGAUACCCUGGUAGUC
rnacentral:rRNA from 1 species